GAACGGUAACAGGAAGCAGCUUGCUGCUUCGCUGACGAGUGGCGGCCGGGUGAGUAAUGUCUGGGAAACUGCCUGAUGGAGGGGGAUAACUACUGGAAACGGUAGCUAAUACCGCAUAACGUCGCAAGACCAAAGAGGGGGACCUUCGGGCCUCUUGCCAUCGGAUGUGCCCAGAUGGGAUUAGCUAGUAGGUGGGGUAACGGCUCACCUAGGCGACGAUCCCUAGCUGGUCUGAGAGGAUGACCAGCCACACUGGAACUGAGACACGGUCCAGACUCCUACGGGAGGCAGCAGUGGGGAAUAUUGCACAAUGGGCGCAAGCCUGAUGCAGCCAUGCCGCGUGUAUGAAGAAGGCCUUCGGGUUGUAAAGUACUUUCAGCGGGGAGGAAGGUGAUCAGGUUAAUAACCUUGUCGAUUGACGUUACCCGCAGAAGAAGCACCGGCUAACUCCGUGCCAGCAGCCGCGGUAAUACGGAGGGUGCAAGCGUUAAUCGGAAUUACUGGGCGUAAAGCGCACGCAGGCGGUCUGUCAAGUCGGAUGUGAAAUCCCCGGGCUCAACCUGGGAACUGCAUUCGAAACUGGCAGGCUAGAGUCUUGUAGAGGGGGGUAGAAUUCCAGG
rnacentral:rRNA from 1 species